rnacentral:rRNA from 1 species
UACGUAGGGGGCAAGCGUUGUCCGGAAUCAUUGGGCGUAAAGAGCGUGUAGGCGGCCUGAUAAGUAGGGGGUGAAAUCCUGCGGCUUAACCGCAGGGCUGCCUUCUAAACUGUCGGGCUAGAGCACGGUAGAGGCAGAUGGAAUUCCCGGUGUAGCGGUGGAAUGCGUAGAGAUCGGGAAGAACAUCAGUGGCGAAGGCGGUCUGCUGGGCCGUUGCUGACGCUGGAGGAGCGAAAGCGUUGGGAGCGAACAGG